UUCGAGUGGUCCGGACGAAUAUUGGGUCUAAAGCGUUCGUAGCGGGACAAGUAGGUCCCUGGUUAAAUCCGACGUCACAAGCGUUGGGCUGCUGGGGAUACCGCUAGUCUUGAGAGCGGGAUAGGACAGGGGUAGUCUAUGGGCAGGGGUGAAAUCCAGUGAUCCAUAGGCGACCACCGAUGGCGAAGGCACCUGUCUGGAACGUAUCUAACCGUGAUGGACGAAAGCCAGGGGAGCGACCCGGAUUAGAUACCCGGUUAGUCCUGGCCGUAAACGAUGCCGACUAGGUGUUGCAGCGGCCAAGACCACUGCAGUGCCACAGCGAAGCGUUAAGUCGGCCACCUGGGGAGUACGAUCGCAAGAUUGAAACUUAAAGGAAUUGACGGGGGCGCACCACCAGGAGUGAAGCCUGCGGUUUAAUUGGAUUCAACGCCGAAAAACUCACCUAAACAGACGGCAGAAUGAAGCUCAAGUUAAUGACUUUAGCUAACUCGCCGAGAGGAAGUGCAUGGCCGUCGACAGUUCGUGCUGUGAAGUGUCUUGUUAAGUCAAGCAACGAACGAGAUCCACGUCCGCAAUUGCCAGCGGGUCCCUUUGGGAUGCCGGGAACCUUGCGGAGACUGCUUGGUGCUAAACCAGAGGAAGGAGUGGCAACGGCAGGUCAGUAUGCUCCGAUAGUUUAGGGCUACACGCGGGCUGCAAUGGUCGGUACAAUGGGCCGUGACCCGAAAGGGAAACCAAUCCCGAAAGCCGGUCUCAGUCAGGAUUGGGGUUUGCAAAUCAGCCCCAUGAAUAUGGAAUUCCUAGUAAACGUGUCAUUAAGACACGUUGAAUAAGUCCCCGCGCCUUGUACACACCGCCCGUUGUUGCAACCAACUGCAUGGUGGUUGAGGCGCUUGAUUUAAUGCGAGUGUCAAUACUGCUGUGUGCUAGGAGGCAA
rnacentral:rRNA from 1 species